GACGAACGCCGGCGGCGUGCCUAAUACAUGCAAGUAGAACGCUGAAGGAGGAGCUUGCUCUUCUGGCUGAGUUGCGAACGGGUGAGUAACGCGUAGGUAACCUGCCCUGGUAGCGGGGGAUAAACUAUUGGAAACGAUAGCUAAUACCGCAUAACAGUAGAUAUUGCAUGAUGUCUGCUUGAAAGGUGCAAAUGCAUCACUACCAGAUGGACCUGCGUUGUAUUAGCUAGUUGGUGAGGUAACGGCUCACCAAGGCGACGAUACAUAGCCGACCUGAGAGGGUGAUCGGCCACACUGGGACUGAGACACGGCCCAGACUCCUACGGGAGGCAGCAGUAGGGAAUCUUCGGCAAUGGACGGAAGUCUGACCGAGCAACGCCGCGUGAGUGAAGAAGGUUUUCGGAUCGUAAAGCUCUGUUGUAAGAGAAGAACGAGUGUGAGAGUGGAAAGUUCACACUGUGACGGUAUCUUACCAGAAAGGGACGGCUAACUACGUGCCAGCAGCCGCGGUAAUACGUAGGUCCCGAGCGUUGUCCGGAUUUAUUGGGCGUAAAGCGAGCGCAGGCGGUUAGAUAAGUCUGAAGUUAAAGGCUGUGGCUUAACCAUAGUACGCUUUGGAAACUGUUUAACUUGAGUGCAAGAGGGGAGAGUGGAAUUCCAUGUGUAGCGGUGAAAUGCGUAGAUAUAUGGAGGAACACCGGUGGCGAAAGCGGCUCUCUGGCUUGUAACUGACGCUGAGGCUCGAAAGCGUGGGGAGCAAACAGG
rnacentral:rRNA from 1 species